CUCUCUCUCUCUCUCCUGCUGCAUUGUGAAGAAACUGCUUGCUUCCCUCUCACCCUCUGCAGUUUCCUGAGGCCUCCCCAGCCAUGCGGAACGCCUGCUUCCAUAUCGUAAACUGCCUUGGAACCAAUUACCACUACCAGGGAGACAAACUAUUGCUUAGAGGAUGCUGACAGGAGCAGCAUGCCAAAAUUGGAAGAAGGUCUUGCUCUGUCACCCAGGCUGGAGUGCAGUGACACAAUGCUGGCUCAACCUCCUGGGCUCAAGAGAUCCUUCCACCUCGGCCUCCUGAGUAGCUGGGAUCACAGGCAUAUGCCACCAUGCCCGGCUAAUUUUUGUAUUUGUCUUUUUAGUAGAGAUGGGGUUUCACCAUGUU
rnacentral:lncRNA from 1 species